AAUAUUGGGACAUAUAAAAAAAGACAACUCUGUUCCGCAGAGUAGCUGUUGACAUUAUAGUUGCGCAGGAACUUUGUUGACUCUAGAGAACCUCGGGCAAAUCGCACAUCCCCGUGGCGCGACUUUGCAUGCGGAUGUCAUCCAUAUCAACUUUCGAUGCCAGUUUCUGCGCCUACCAUGGUGACCACGGGUAACGGGGAAUCAGGGUUCCAUUCCGUACAGGGACCCUGAGAAACGGCUACCACAUGCAAGGAAGGCAGCAGGCGCGCAAAUGACCCACUCCCGACGCGGGAAGGUAGUGA